GGACUAAAUCUGAAUUUCUGUCAUUAGUAACCAUUAUGAACAUGGUAUGAAUUCUGCUUCUCCUUAAAGAGCUGACUGAGUUUCCUUGACUGUAGAAGAGAGAUGGGGAUACCUACCCGUUUCCAUAGUGAUAUGACGAAUGGGAGGGAAAUAGAAAACCUACAAUCCAGUGACAAAGAGCAGUACAACAGAUAAUGCCUGAAUCCCAGGAAGUAGUUUUGCAGACUUGCUCAGGGCUGGUCUUGUGGUAAGACUCUUAGCAGUUCCCAGUUUGGUGCAGUUAAAAAUACCCUCCCGAUUUCUGCUUUUUGGAGAGGAGUUGUGGCCGUAUAGUCUCCCUGCCAACCCCACCCCCAAAAGGCCACGUCCUAAUCUCUGAAACCUGUGACUACGUUACCUGACAUGGCAAAGCAGACGGAACUGAGGCUGCUAAUCAACUGACUUUAGAAUAGGAAGGUGGUUCUAGAUUACCCUGGGCCCAGCGUCAUCGUGGGGGGCCCUUCGAUCUGGAAGAGGGAGACGGAAGAGGAGGUCAGAGCGCGAGGACACCCCAGCAGCACUGGCAGGAGCCGCGGGGCCAGGGAACACAGGCAGCCCCCAAAAGCUGGGAAAAGCGAGGACACGGGCUCUUCCCUGGAUCCUCCAGAAAGAAAGGCAGCCCUGGCGACACCCAGAUUCAGCCCAAGGACACUUCACACCUACAGAAUUUUUGAUGAAUCCUCGGAUGGUCCAGUGCCCGAAACACAAACUAAAACAGUUCUGGAAGUGGAUUGUGGUGAUGGCUGCACAGCAUUGUGGAGGUACUUCCUACCCCGGAAUCGUACACUUAAAAAUGGUUUAAAAGGUAAACUUUAUGUUAUCGGUGUUUUCACAACAGUUAAAAAAGAAAAAAGAAAGAAAGAAACUCAGUUGCUUGCUUCUAAAACCUACGAUGCAUUCUCGAUUCUCUCCUUUACUCACCCCACAUGACCAAGUCUUGUCAUAGCCACCUCCGGAAGACUUCCGGCACUUCCGGCACGUC